rnacentral:lncRNA from 1 species
AGUUUCAGUAUUAUCACGCAGUUAAUCGAUUUCACCCAUGACACUGCUUAUCAAUUAUAUCUCGGUAAACAGAUUGACGCUACCUUCAUUGCUUUUUCUAAAGUUUUCGAUUCAUUACUUCAUUCUCACCUCUUGCAAAAAUUAAAUGCGGUACUAAAAAAUUCCCGUCUAGUCAAUUGGAUUGCUAGUUUUCUUUCUAACCAGUCCCAAUACGUCGACUUUAGUUCCUCAAGGUCAUCAAUUCUUGAAGUAGGCUCCGGGGUUCCUCAAGGAUCAGUCCUGGGUCCUUUACUGUUUUUAAUUUAUGUCAAUGACCUCCAAAAAAAUGUUUCUUCCAGCAUUCAUCUUUAUGCUGAUGAUUGCGUCUUAUACGACGUGAUUGACUCUGCGACUAGUUAUAAGCGAUUGAACGAUUCCUUUGUCUCUUUCAGUGCUUGGUGUGAAAAAUGGAAAAUGAACAUUAAUU